CGUUAUAUUGGGUAUAAUGGAAAAAACGCAACGACUUGCCUUCAGAAAUAUUGUCACAAUUCGAUUUUAUAAUAGGUAUUUUUAUUCUAGAACCAACAUUGAGCGAUUUAUACUCAGACUGCGUAAACGCAUUUUGUCUAUAUCGUAUACGUAUGUAUAGACAACACGGGUGUGACGUCCUCUUAAUAAUGCAUUUAUUCAAAAUCUGAUUUUUGGAAUUUUUAAUUAUUCUUAAACUUCAUAUUUUCAAAUGCUUGAGACAUUUUGUACCUAUAUUACGGAGUGUCCCGUGGCGAUACAGACUUCUAUAUUGUUAUUCUAUAUACAUUUUCCACAACAAUUUUAAUUUAACUCACUUUGGUUGGAUCGAUGAUUCCUUUUUCAACCAUGUUAACAUAUUCGUCGUUCAUUGCAUCAUAUCCAAAAGCGUCUUUACCUUCAGACACUUUAGCAACUACAACACCA